ACGAGGCGAACGCGGAGAACUGAAACAUCUAAGUACCCGUAGGAAAAGAAAUCAACCGAGAUUCCGAAAGUAGCGGCGAGCGAAAUCGGAACAGCCCUUAAGCUUAUUAUGUGUUAAUGGAAGGCUCUGGAAAGUGCCACGAUACAGGGUGAUAGUCCCGUACAUGAAAAGACAUUUUAAGUGAAAUCGAGUAGGUCGGAGCACGUGAAACUUUGACUGAAUAUAGGUGGACCAUCAUCUAAGGCUAAAUACUCCCAACUGACCGAUAGUGAACCAGUACCGUGAGGGAAAGGCGAAAAGAACCCCUGUGAGGGGAGUGAAAUAGAACCUGAAACCGUGUACGUACAAGCAGUAGGAGCCCACUUGUUGGGUGACUGCGUACCUUUUGUAUAAUGGGUCAGCGACUUAUAUUUUGUAGCAAGGUUAACCGAAUAGGGUAGCCGUAGGGAAACCGAGUCUUAACUGGGCGAAUAGUUGCAAGGUAUAGACCCGAAACCCGGUGAUCUAGCCAUGGGCAGGUUGAAGGUUGAGUAACAUCAACUGGAGGACCGAACCCACUAACGUUGAAAAGUUAGGGGAUGACCUGUGGCUAGGAGUGAAAGGCUAAUCAAACCGGGAGAUAGCUGGUUCUCCCCGAAAUCUAUUUAGGUAGAGCCUCGGACGAAUACUUACGGGGGUAGAGCACUGUUAAGGCUAGGGGGUCAUCCCGACUUACCAACCCUUUGCAAACUCCGAAUACCGUAAAGUAAUAUCCGGGAGACACACGGCGGGUGCUAACGUCCGUCGUGAA
rnacentral:rRNA from 1 species